rnacentral:rRNA from 1 species
UGCCACUCUUAACGGGGUGGCUUUUCAGAAGUGUAAAAAGCUUCUGGAAUAAGGGCUGGGCAAGACCGGUGCCAGCCGCCGCGGUAACACCGGCAGCUCAAGUGGUAGCCGCUUUUAUUGGGCCUAAAGCGUCCGUAGCCGGUCUGAUAAGUCUCUGGUGAAAUCCCACAGCUUAACUGCGGGAAUUGCUGGAGAUACUAUCAUGACUCGAGGUCGGGAGAGGCUGGAGGUACUCCCAGGGUAGGGGUGAAAUCCUGUAAUCCUGGGAGGACCACCUGUGGCGAAGGCGUCCAGCUGGAACGAACCUGACGGUGAGGGACGAAAGCCAGGGGCGCGAACCGGAUUAGAUACCCGGGUAGUCCUGGCCGUAAACGAUGUGGACUUGGUGUUGAGAUGGCUUCGAGCUGCCCCAGUGCCGAAGGGAAGCUGUUAAGUCCACCGCCUGGGAAGUACGGCCGCA